rnacentral:rRNA from 1 species
AGUGAACGCUGGCGGUAGGCCUAACACAUGCAAGUCGAACGGCAGCACAGAGGAGCUUGCUCCUUGGGUGGCGAGUGGCGGACGGGUGAGGAAUACAUCGGAAUCUACUCUGUCGUGGGGGAUAACGUAGGGAAACUUACGCUAAUACCGCAUACGACCUACGGGUGAAAGCAGGGGACCUUCGGGCCUUGCGCGAUUGAAUGAGCCGACGUCGGAUUAGCUAGUUGACGGGGUAAAGGCCCACCAAGGCGACGAUCCGUAGCUGGUCUGAGAGGAUGAUCAGCCACACUGGAACUGAGACACGGUCCAGACUCCUACGGGAGGCAGCAGUGGGGAAUAUUGGACAAUGGGCGCAAGCCUGAUCCAGCCAUACCGCGUGGGUGAAGAAGGCCUUCGGGUUGUAAAGCCCUUUUGUUGGGAAAGAAAUCCAGCUGGCUAAUACCCGGUUGGGAUGACGGUACCCAAAGAAUAAGCACCGGCUAACUUCGUGCCAGCCGCCGCGGUAA